UACGGAGGGUGCGAGCGUUAUUCGGAAUCACUGGGCGUAAAGAGCGUGUAGGCGGCCGGUUAAGUCAGGUGCGAAAGCCCGGGGCUCAACCCCGGAAGUGCACUUGAAACUGGUCGGCUUGAGUUCGGGAGAGGGAAGCGGAAUUCCUGGAGUAGAGGUGAAAUUCGUAGAUAUCAGGAGGAACGCCGGUGGCGAAGGCGGCUGCCUGGACCGAAACUGACGCUGAGGCGCGAAAGCGUGGGGAGCAAACAGG
rnacentral:rRNA from 1 species